AUUCAGCUGACAAGUCCCAAUUAGGACGAAAUGUACGUCCUGAUU
rnacentral:hammerhead_ribozyme from 1 species